CAGCCGUAAACUAUGCGCGUUAGGUGUAUCAGUGACCACGAGUUACCGAGGUGCCGAAGGGAAACCGUGAAACGUGCCGCCUGGGAAGUACGGUCGCAAGGCUGAAACUUAAAGGAAUUGGCGGGGGAGCACCACAACAGGUGGAGCCUGCGGUUUAAUUGGACUCAACGCCGGGAAGCUCACCGGAUAGGACAGCGGAAUGAUUGCCGGGCUGAAGACUCUGCAUGACUAGCUGAGAGGAGGUGCAUGGCGUAGGCGUCU
rnacentral:rRNA from 1 species